AACGCGAAGAACCUUACCUGGGCUCGAAGCGCAGUGGAAUCCGGUGGAAACAUCGGCGCCCGCAAGGGUCGCUGCGGAGGUGCUGCAUGGCUGUCGUCAGCUCGUGUCGUGAGAUGUUGGGUUAAGUCCCGCAACGAGCGCAACCCUUAUCUCUAGUUGCCAUCAGGUCAAGCUGGGCACUCUAGCGAAACCGCCCCGGAUAACGGGGAGGAAGGUGGGGAUGACGUCAAGUCCUCAUGGCCUUUAUGUCCAGGGCUACACACGUGCUACAAUGGCCGGUACAAACCGUCGCAAACCCGCGAGGGGGAGCUAAUCGGAAAAAGCCGGCCUCAGUUCGGAUUGGAGUCUGCAACCCGACUCCAUGAAGCUGGAAUCGCUAGUAAUCGCGGAUCAGAACGCUGCGGUGAAUACGUUCCCGGGCCUUGUACACACCGCAUAC
rnacentral:rRNA from 1 species